UACGGAGGGUGCAAGCGUUAUCCGGAUUCACUGGGUUUAAAGGGUGCGUAGGUGGGCUGGUAAGUCAGUGGUGAAAUCUCCAGGCUUAACUUGGAAACUGCCAUUGAUACUAUCAGUCUUGAAUACCGUGGAGGUCAGCGGAAUAUAUCAUGUAGCGGUGAAAUGACUUAGAUAUGAUAUAGAACACCAAUAGCGAAGGCAGCUUACUACGCAGUUAUUGACACUGAGGCUCGAAAAGCGUGGGGGAUCAAACAGG
rnacentral:rRNA from 1 species